UACGGAGGGUGCAAGCGUUAUCCGGAUUCACUGGGUUUAAAGGGUGCGUAGGUGGGUUGGUAAGUCAGUGGUGAAAUCUCCAGGCUUAACUUGGAAACUGCCAUUGAUACUAUCAAUCUUGAAUACCGUGGAGGUCAGCGGAAUAUGUCAUGUAGCGGUGAAAUGCUUAGAUAUGUAAUAGAACACCGAUUGCGAAGGCAGUUCACUAGGCCUGAAUUGACACUGAGGCACGAAAGCGUGGGGAUCAAACAGG
rnacentral:rRNA from 1 species